CUAUCACAUACGCAUUAAAAUCAAACACUUCAAAUACAUCAUAUACAAACAUUUUAGGCUCAGCCUACAUUUUUAAAAAAGAUGUCUAAAUUUUAAAAUUCUUUACAAUAGUAAUUGUUUAUAUAUACAACGUAUCCUUGGCAUUAUAACAACUAGCUAGUGAGAAAUUUUAUUUAUUUUUUUUAAAUGACAGAUUUCUCACUAGUUAGUUUCCUAAACCACCCCCACCAGAGAUGGGGGCGGUAUAUGCUGGUUUGCACUGAGGACUAUGCCUCAGUGCGUUUGCCUGGAAUUUUUUUUCUUUUUCUUUUUUUCUUUCUCCUUUGAGUGAAUUCUUUUUUUUUCUUGUUUAUAAUACAACAGCUAUAUUCAAUAAAAAAAAUAAAAAAUAUAAUAAGAUAAAGAAAAGUGUGUUAUACAUGUAUAUAUAAGUGUCCAACUGUUGUUCUUUUUUUCUUCUUUUUUUUUGGACUAGUAUCGCUGUGUAACCAGGCAAACCAGGAUGGAGAAUAUAACAAUUCCCAGCUUAAGACUCCAUUCUAUGGUGUUACAAUAUGUGAAAGCGUCGCCAAGGAUUGAUUAAAUUAUGAAAUAAAAUAUAGAUUGGUUGAUCCUCCAGGGUGUAUUUAAAAUAUCGCUAUUAAUAUUAGAGCCGUUUCCGGAUGGUAGUUUAGUACUGGCAUAAACAAAGACUUUACUAACUAUAAGAAAGAAAACGAUCCUUUUCAGGGCCACUGUUAAAAUAUUAUAUAAUAAUUUAAAAUAGUAUAUACAUUAUUUACAUAAAAAGGAUUCUCAUCCCGGAGGAACGGUAAAUUUAUAAUAUACAACGGCUGGUGAAUUAUUAAAACAACAUAUAAACAAACUCCCCGAAGCCCUUUUCCCAUAAAUGUAUGGGGUUUAAUGCUUGAAAAAUAAAAAAAGAAUUAAAUCUGAAUGCUUGUGCUAUUCUACAGGGGUGACUCCGUUCAGUAUUACUAUUUUUCCACCCCGGGAUAGAGAAAAGAACGAGUUCGCCGGGUGCCAUGAUUUAGGCUACUUGAAUACUUUCCAUUGAAGGAGAUACCAUGUGGGAGGAAAGUGUCACGUGGCAAAUUCACUCAAUGGCGGAGGAUUAAACAGACGGACUAUCGAAGGGAGUCUUGGGGUACUGAACGGAACCUUCCCGACAACUGACCUGGGUAGGAUAAAGCUGCCGGUAAAGGGGGUGUCCUCGCCGACCGCCAUUCACUUAUGACGUGCCGGCGGGCUAGUGAAUAGACCUUUGUGGGUACAAGAGGGACCGGAUCAUUCACCUCCACACGCCUGAGGCCCGCCUUUGCAAGCCCGUCAACCACUUCAUUCCCCUUCAGGCGGACAUGAGCUGGGACCCUUACCAUGGCUUUGGAAGAGGCACAACAUGGGCUGUUUUCCACUCGGAAGGAACCACCCCACCCCGCCAGAACAUGUUAUACAGAUGCAGCCAGAUUUGAAGGGUUGCAUCCGGCAUGUGCCCAAACAUCAGAUAGGAUAUUCUAUCAGCCCCAGUGGCGGACUUUCUCCUGCUAGCAAUGGCUGACCUUAGCUCACUAAGUGAGAAAGCCUUGGAGCAUUCGUCCGUCCACCAUGGGACCGUUUGACGUUUGAGCCGCUUACCGGAAGAGGAGGGAAUACAACUCUCAGCUAUGGAUAGGAUUUUAUCAGUCAACUGCCGAUUAAAAUGUUCCAGCUCAUCCAGAUCAAAGUCAGAGAGAGAGAGAGUCCCAUACACAAUCUUUUGAAUUCACACCAAUCAGUCUUUUCAAAGUUAAAGGAUGGUUGGCAAGUCUCAUGUGAAUUUGACCCUCCGAUAUUAACAUUGUGGAGGACUUUAAGGCAAGGAAAGUGAUCCGACCCAAGAUUGUCAUCUAGGACCCCCCAUGACGCGACACCUGCCAAACAGACACUGACUAUGGUGAGGUCAAUGCACGUGGAAUUAUCUUGUGCAUCAAACCUGGUGGGUGCACCAUCAUUCAGGACUACCAAGUUUGAGUCUUCCAUCCAAGUACAGACGUCCUCACCAUAUUUACAGACUUUGGAGCAACCCCACACUGGGUGAUGUGCAUUGAAGUCCCCAGUGUAUACCAGUUUCAUUAUAUUUGUUUUACUCCGUAUAUUACUCUCGAGUGUAGUAAGAGCCUGAAUGUUACAGCCCCGAGAGUAGACAUUUAUAAGAACAAAGGGUUGGUGCUUUGUUGGGUAAACAAUAAUUGCCAGUGCCUCUAUGGCUGUGCCGCCAUCAAUUUUUAACGGAACAGUGAUUGAAAGAGUCGGGUAUUGGAUAUUGUGCUUUAUAUAAAUUGCUAACCCACCGGCUACAUUAUCAUUUAAGUUUGUAUGAUUUAUAAACUCUGUAUAAUAGCCGGGGAUUGAUUUUGAUGUAUUCCCCUUAAAUUUAGUUUCUUGAAUGCACAAUAUAUCAAUACUAUUUA